AUUGAACGCUGGCGGCAGGCCUAACACAUGCAAGUCGAACGAGUGGCGGACGGGUGAGUAAUGUCUGGGAAACUGCCCGAUGGAGGGGGAUAACUACUGGAAACGGUAGCUAAUACCGCAUACCAUCGGAUGUGCCCAGAUGGGAUUAGCUAGUAGGUGGGGUAAAGGCUAACCUAGUCGACGAUCCCUAGAUGGUCAGAGAGGAUGACCAGCCACACUGGAGAUGAGGCACGGUCCAGACUCCUACGGAGGACAGCAGUGGGGAAUAUUGCACGAUGGGCGCAAGCCUGAUGCAGCCAUGCCGCGUGUGUGAAGAAGGCCUUCGGGUUGUAAAGCACUUUCAGCGGGGAGGCGUUACCCGCAGAAGAAGCACCGGCUAACUCCGUGCCAGCAGCCGCGGUAAUAC
rnacentral:rRNA from 1 species